rnacentral:sRNA from 20 species
AACAAAGCAAAGCCGAAUUCCGUAUGGAAGCGGAGGACCCACCUUUUUGGGGUGAAUUCUGCCACAAGCAGAAAGGAUGUUUACCUCUCUUGCCAUCCUAACCCGACAGCUAACUUCGUAGGCUAAAGCAAAGAGGUCGA